rnacentral:rRNA from 1 species
GACGAACGCUGGCGGCGUGCUUAACACAUGCAAGUCGAACGGAAAGGCCCUGCUUUUGUGGGGUGCUCGAGUGGCGAACGGGUGAGUAACACGUGAGUAACCUGCCCUUGACUUUGGGAUAACUUCAGGAAACUGGGGCUAAUACCGGAUAGGAGCUCCUGCUGCAUGGUGGGGGUUGGAAAGUUUCGGCGGUUGGGGAUGGACUCGCGGCUUAUCAGCUUGUUGGUGGGGUAGUGGCUUACCAAGGCUUUGACGGGUAGCCGGCCUGAGAGGGUGAACGGCCACAUGGGGACUGAGAUACGGACCAGAAGCCUACGGGAGGCAGCAGUGGGGAAUAUUGCACAAUGGGCGGAAGCCUGAUGCAGCAAAGCCGCGUGCGGGAUGACGGCCUUCGGGUUGUAAACCGAUUUCGCCUGUGACGAAGCGUGAGUGACGGUAAUGGGUAAAGAAGCACCGGCUAACUACGUG